rnacentral:rRNA from 1 species
AUUGAACGCUGGCGGCAUGCUUUACACAUGCAAGUCGGACGAGUGGCGGACGGGUGAGUAAUAUAUCGGAACGUACCGAGUAAUGGGGGAUAACUACUCGAAAGAUUAGCUAAUACCGCAUAUUAUUCGAGCUGCCGAUAUCGGAUUAGCUAGUUGGUGGGGUAAAGGCCUACCAAGGCGACGAUCAGUAGCGGGUCGGAGAGGAUGACCAGCCACACUGGGACUGAGACACGGCCCAGACUCCUACGGGAGGCAGCAGUGGGGAAUUUUGGACAAUGGGCGCAAGCCUGAUCCAGCCAUGCCGCGUGUAUGAAGAAGGCCUUCGGGUUGUAAAGGACUUUUGUCAGGGAAGCGGUACCUGAAGAAGAAGCACCGGCUAACUACGUGCCAGCAGCCGCGGUAAUAC